rnacentral:lncRNA from 1 species
GAAUUUGAUGUAGUGAAAUUUGCUAUUUCAAUGAUCUGUUCCUUCCAGAAGAAAAAAGGUUACUUAAAAUUAAUACCUAAUAUCAAAUGAAGACCAGAACAUUACAAGAAAAUAAAACUGCAAAGCCAUAUCCUUCAUGAAAAUUGAUGUGAAAAUCUUUGACAAAAUAUUGGUAAAUUGAAGACAACAAUAUACACAGAAAGCCUCAUCACUAAGUAGAUUUAUCUCAAAAAAUAAAUGGUUCAUUUGUCAUUUAAAAAGAAAAUAAAGUCAUUAUCUCAACAGAUACAGAAAAACAAUUUGAAAAAGUUUAACAUCCAUCUAUGUUGCAUGAAAAACUUAAAGCUAACAUCUCUGUUUUAUUAUGUACAGUAACUUUAUUUACUUUCUAAUGAUCUCAACUUCAAGAUUCAGGGGGUACAUGUACACAUUUGUUAUAUGAUUAUAUUGAGGGAUGCUGAGGUUUGGAGUGUGGUUCGUCACUCAGGGAGUGAACACGGUACCCAAUAGGUAGUUUUUCAACCCAGGCCUUACUUCCUCACUACCACCUCUAGUAGUCCACAGGACCUAUUGUUCCCAUGUUUACGUCCCUGAGUACUCAGUGUUUUACUCCCAGUUAUAACUGAGAACAUGUUGUGUUUGGUGUUGUCUUCCUGCAUUACUUCACUUAGGAUUUAUGGCCUCCAGCUCCAUCCAUGUUGUUGCAAAGAACAUGAUUCCUCCUUCUUUUUUUUUUUUUUUUUUUUUUGAGGUGGAGUCUCGCUCUGUCUGGAGUACAGUGGCGCGAUCUUGGCUCAGUGCAAGCUCCGCCUCCCGGGGGUCACGCCAUUGGCCUGCCUCAGCCUCCCAAGUAGCUGGGACUACAGGCACCCACCUCCACGCCUGGCUAAUUUUUUGUAGGGACGGGGUUUCACCGUAUUAGCCAGGAUGGUCUCGAUUUCCUGACCUCGUGAUCCGCCCGCCUCGGCCUCCCAAAGUGCUGGGAUUACAGGCGUGAGCCACCGCGCCAGGCCCAUGAUUCCAUUUUUUAAUAACUGCAUAGUAUUCCAUGAUAUAAAUGUACAACAUUUUCUUCAUCCAACCCACUAUUGAGGGGCACAUAUGUUGACUUCAUGUCUUUGCUAUUGUGAAUAGCAUUGCCAUGAACAUACCAGUGCAUGUGUCUUUUUGAUAGAAUAACUUAUUUUAUUUUGGGUAUAUACUCAGUAAUAGGAUUUCUGGGUUGAAUAGUGUCUCUGUUUUAAGUUCUUAGAGAAAUUGCAAAACUGAUUUCCACUGUAGCUGAACUAAUUUACAUUUCUUUCAAUAGUAUAUAUAAGUGUUCCUUUUUUCUACAGCCUCACCAGCAUCUGUUAUUUUAUGGUUUUUAAUAGUAACCAUUCUGACUAGUGUGAGAUGGUAUCUUGUGGAUUUUACUUGCAUUUCUCUGAUGAUUAAUGAUGCAGAGUAUUUUUUCAUGUUUAGUACCUGCUUGUACGUCUUCUUUUUAGAAGCAUCUGUUCAUGUCCUUUGCCCAUUUUUUAAUUUGGUUAUUUGGUUUUUGCUUGUUGAUUUCUUUAAGUCCCUUAUAGAUUAUGGAUAUUAGAAUUGUGUCAGAUGCAUAUUUUACAGAAUUUUUCCCCAAUUCUCUAGGUUGUCUGUUUACUGUACUGAUAAUUCCCUUUGCUUUGCAGAAGCUCUUUAGUUUAAUUAGGUCUUCCUUGUCCAUUUUUGUUUUUGUUGCAAUUGCUUCUGGGGACUUAGCAAAAAAUUAUUUGCUAAGGUCCAUGUCCACAAUGAUGUGUUCUAGGUUUUCUUCUAGGAUUUUUUAUAGUUUGAGAUCUUAUAUUUACAUAAGAUUACUUAAUCCAUGUUGAGUUAAUUUUUGUACAUGGUGAAAGGUAGGUAUUUAGUUUCAUUAUUCUGCACGUGGCUACUCAGUUAUCCACACAUCAUUUAUUGAAUAGCAAGUUUCUCCCCCUUUAAUUGGUUUUGUUGGCUUUGUCAAAGAUUCUAUGGUUGUAGGUGUACAGCGUUAUUUCUGGGUUUCCCAUUGUGUUCCAUUGGUCCAUGUAUCUGUUUUUGUACCAGUAUGAUGGUGUUUUUGUUUACUAUAUCCUUUCAGUACACUUUGAGGUCAGAUAAUGUGAUGCCUCUGGCUUUGUUCUUAUUGCUUAGUAUGAAUUUGACUAUCCUGACUCUUUUUCAACUUCAUAUUUUAAAAUAGUUUGUUGUAAUUCUGUGAAAAAUAAUCUUGGUAGUUUGACAGAAAUAGCGUUGGUUGCUUUGGGCAAUAUGGCCAUUUUAGCAAUAUUGAUUCUUCUAUUCCAUGAGCAUGGACUGUUUUUCAGUUGAUUGACAUCGUCUCUGAUUUCUUUCAGCAAUGCUCUGUAGUUCCUAUAGAGAUCUUUCCCUUUCACUUCCUUGUUUAGAUAUAGUCUUAGGCCCUAUGUAUUUCAGGGUUUUUUUUUUCCAUGUUAAAUAAAAUUGUGUUCCUGAUAUGACUCUCAGCUUGAAUGUCGUUGCAUAGAAAUGCUACUAAUUUUGUAUAUUAACUUUGUAUCCUGAAACUUUACCAAAGCCAUUUACCAGUUCCAGGAGCAUUUUAGUGGAGUCUUAGGGUUUUUUGGGUAUAAAAUCAUAUAAUCAGGUAAAGAGUUUAAUUUCAUCUUUUCCUAAUGGAUGUCUUUUAUUUUUUUCUUUUGUCUGAUUGCUCUGGCUAGGAUGUCCAAUAGCAUGUUCAAUAGAAGUGGUGAGAGUAGGCAUUCUUGUCUAGUUCCAUUUCAGACAAGAAAUGGUUCCAGCUUUUGCCUGUUCAGUAUGAUGUUGGCUACGUGUUUGUAAUAGAUGGCUACCAUUGUAUUGAAGUAUGUUAUUUUAGUGUGUAGUCUGUUGAGGGCUUUUAUCAUGAAUGGAUGUUAAAUUUUAUCAAAAGCAUUUUCUGAGUCUAUUGAGAUGAUCACAUGAUUUUUAUUUAAGUCUGUUUAUGUGGUGAAUCACUUUUACUGAUUUGCAUAUGUAAAGCCAGCCUUCAUUCCCAGGAGCAAAGCCUACUUGAUCAUGGCGUAUUAACUUUUGGAUGUGCCGCUGAUUCAGUUUGCUAGUAACUUGUUGAGAAAAUCUGUGUAUAUGUUCAUCAGGAAUAUUGGCCCUAAGUUUUGUUUUGUUUUUUUCAUUGUGCCUGUGCCAGAUUUUUGCAUCAGGCUGUUGCUGAGUUUAUAAAUGAGCCAGGUAGGGCCUCUCUGCUAUAAUUUUUUGAGAAUAGUUUAAGUAGGAUUGGUACCAGGUUUUCUUUGUAUGUCUAAUAGAAUUGGCUAUAAAUUCAUUCGGUUCAAGACUUUCUUUGGUUGGCAGUUUUGUAUUACUGACUCAAUUUCAAAAGUUGUUCUUGGUCUGUUGACUUUUUCACUUUCUUCCUGGUUUAGUCAUAGGAAGUUUUGUGUUUUUCCAGGAAUUUAUCCAUUUUUUCUAGACUUUCCAAUUUGUGUACAUAGAGUUGUUCAAAAUAAUCUCUGAGUAUCUUCUGCAUUUCUAUGGGAUUGAGUGUAAUGUCAUUGUUGUUCUUUUGAUUGUGUUUAAUAGGAUCUUCUCUCCUUUUUUCCUUUGAUAAUUUAGCCAGCAGUCUAUCAAUUUUGUUUAUUCUUUUGAAAAACCAAUGUUUUGUUUCAUUUAUCUUUUGUAUGGAUUUUUACAUCCCAAUUUUGUUCAGCUUUUCUGUAAUUUUAUUUAUUUUCUUUUUUUGGGGGGAGCUUUUUAAAAUUUUGUUCUAGUUUCUUUGACUAUAUAGUUCUAUUGUUAAUUUGAGAUCUUCCUAACUUCUUGAUGAAGGUGUUUAGCACUACCAAGUUUCCUCCUACCACUGAUAUUGUUGCAUCCCAGAGACUUUAGUAAGUUGUGUCCCUAUUAAAUAUUUUUUUUCUUAUUUUCUUCUGAAUUUCAUUGUUGAUCCAGGGGUUAUUCAAGAGCAAGUUGUUUAAUUUCCAUGUAUUAUUUAGUUUUGAGAGAUAUUUUUGAGAUUCAUUUCUGUUUUUACUCAACUAUGAUCUGAGAGUAUGCUUGGUAUAUUUUCUAUUUAUUUUUAAUUUAUUGAGACUUUAUGACCAAGCAUGUGGUCUAUAUUAGAAUACAUUCCCUGUGCAGAUGAGAAGAAUGUAUAUUCUGUAAUAUUUGGGUGGAAUAUUCUGCAGAUGUGUAUUACAUCCAAUUGUUUGAGUGUUGAGUUUAAUUCCUGAAUUUCUUUGUUAGUUUUCUUCCUCAAUAAUCUGUCUAACCCUGUCAGUAGGGUGCCGAAGUCUCCCAUUUUUAUUGUGUGUCUGUCUAAAUAUUUUCAUAGUUCAAGUGCAUUUCUUUUACUGGUGUGUGUCUCAGUGUUAAGUGCAUAUAUAUUUAGGAUAGUUAAGUGUUCUUGGUGAAUUGUACCCUUUAUCAUUAUGUAAAGCCCUUCUUUGUCCUUAAUUGUUUUUUUCAUGUAAAGUCUGUUUUAUCUGAUACAAGAAUAAUGACUCCUGCUCUUUUUUCUUUUCAGUUUGCAUGAUAGAUCUUUCUCCAUCACUUUACUUUGAGUUUAUGUGUGUUAUUAAAUGUGGGAUGUGUCUCUUGAAGAAAGCAGAUGGUUUGACUUGUCUUUUUAUCCAGCUUUUUUUUUUUUUUUGCUUUUUUUUUUUUUGAGAUGGGGUUUCGCUCUUGUCUCCCAGGCUGGAGUGCAAUGGCGUGAUCUCUCCUCGCUGCAACCUCAGCCUCCGGGUUCAAUCGAUUCUCCUGACUCAGCCUCUUGAGUAGCUGGGAUUACAAGUGCGUGCCACCAUGUCCGGGUAAUUUUUGUAUUUUUAGUAGAGAUGGGGUUUUACCAGGUUGGCCAGGCUAGUCUCGAACUACUGACCUCAAGUGACCCACUCGCCUCGGCCUCCCAGAGUGCUGGGAUUACAGGUGUGAGCCACCGCAGCUGGCCCUUUUUACCCAGCUUUCUACUCUAUGUCUUUUAGGUAAAGUGUUAGACUAUUUACAUUCAGAGUUAGUCAUUAUUUUGAUUUUUUGUUAUCGUGUUGUUAACUUGUUGUUUUGUAAACUUGAUUGGGUAGUUGCUUUAUAGUGUCCGUGAUCUGUGUUCUUAAGUGGAAUUUUGUGGUAGGAGGUGUUAUUCUUUUGUUUCCAUGUUUACCAUUCCCUUAAGAUUUUACUUUUUUAUUUUUAUCUUUUAAAUUUUUGAUACAGGGUCUGGCUGUAUUACCUGGCUGGAGUGCAGUGGCACGAACACAGCUGACUGUAGCCUUGAUCUCCCAGGCUCAGUCUACCUGCCUCAACCUCCCAAGUAGCUGGGACUAUAGGUGCACACCACCAUGCCCAGCUAAUUUUUAUAUUUUUAUAGAGAUGAGGUCUCACUAUGUUCCUCAGAAUACUCUUGAACUGUCCUGAAUACAUUAUUCAGUUGGAUGUGGUGAUUACCUUUUAACAAAGCAUGUAAAUGUUGCAUGUUUUAUGGCCAAACUAUAAAUUGUUACAGUUAUUUUAGUGGAUCAGUUUAAUGAUGUUAAAAAUAAGUCCAUCAUAUUGUAUCUCACUGCGAGGGAAAACAAUUCCUGAAGUAGAAUUUUCAUGCUUUAUAGCUCCUUCUAUCUCUAUAUUAUUGGCAAGUUUUGAGUUGAUCCUCUUACAAAGUCAAUAUUCUGUCUAAAGUCUGUAAUCUGAAUAAAACUUAGUUGAUAAUGUUACUGAAUGCCAUAGUAAACUCCACCUGCAAUAAUUAAUAAAAACAUACUGUUUGAAGUAACAUGCAAAAGUUUCUGAACAUGUAGUAUGUUUUACUUUUUCUACCUUGAAUAAAAUACAUUAAUUGAACAUCAAAUCAGCAUAAUUUAUAGAAAAAAAUCAACCAACAUGAAUAGUGAAUCAAAUAAAUAGAUUACCCCAAUAGGAAAUAUGAUUUGUUUUAUUUUUAAAAAUAAAUUUGUUUUUUCUUGUAUCAGUCACAUUCAUGCUUCAUAGAUAUUCCUGGUUCAUGAAAUAAUUACUCAAUUCACCUUUAAUGGAUGAGAUAAUCUGAAUGUAUACUUGUUGUUAUUGCUCAUGCAUAUUGUAGCUUGACUGAACCUCGUUCAUAUAAAAUAAUGUAUAAUUAAAAGAUAAAAUGACACCUUUGUCCAAUAAAAUAAUAUAGAAAGUAGAAAUGUGAUUUUUAAAAAACAUUAUUUCAGAAAGAAAAAAAAUUGCGACAAGUAGUGAAAUAUUAUGUCAGGAAGAUAAGGGGAGAUGUCAGUCAUGGAAAGUCUUGUAUGUCAUAUUAAAGGCUUUGAUUGCGUAAACUAGAAUGACAUUGGAAUGUUAUACCUAUAGAAGUGAGAAGGUAAGACUUAACAUCAUCGCAAGACCAUUCUGGAUGCUGUGUAGUAACAAUAAGAAGUAGAAGAAUAAAAAGCAGAAAGACAAUUGGCUGGCUUUUGCUGAAAUUCAAGGAGAUGAUAAUGGCAUGGGAAAUAAUAAUGGCCAUAAAAUACAGUAUCACAAAAAUUUUUUGCCAAGGCCUACAUUCUGAGCAUAUGGCAGAAUAGAGCUAUCAUUAACUAUAAUUACAAAGCCUGUAUGAGAAAUUAUAUUAUUGUUUAUAUUUUGGUUUGGUUGUUUCAUUUUUGGCAAUGGCAAAACAAGCAUAUUUGGAUCUCACACUUGAACAUGUACCUUGGAGUUGCCUUUUAAAAAUUCAAGUAGAUUUGCCUAGUACAUAGUUAGAUAAAUGAGACUGGAUUCAGGCAAAGUCUCAAGGCUGAAUAUAGAUUUUCAGAAUCAUGAAAAUAAGA